rnacentral:rRNA from 1 species
UACGUAGGGUGCGAGCGUUGUCCGGAAUUAUUGGGCGUAAAGGGCUCGUAGGCGGUUUGUCGCGUCGGGAGUGAAAUCCACUGGCUUAACUGGUGGCUUGCUUUCGAUACGGGCAGACUGGAGGUAUGCAGGGGAGAACGGAAUUCCUGGUGUAGCGGUGAAAUGCGCAGAUAUCAGGAGGAACACCGGUGGCGAAGGCGGUCUCUGGGCAUGUCCUGACGCUGAGGAGCGAAAGCAUGGGGAGCGAACAGG